AAUCAACGCUGGCGGCGUGCCUCAGACAUGCAAGUCGAACGCGAAAGUUUCCUUCGGGGAACAAGUAGAGUGGCGCACGGGUGAGUAACACGUAGGUAAUCUACCUUUGGAUGGGGAAUAACAACCGGAAACGGUUGCUAAUACCGCAUAAUGCAGCGGCACCUAAUGGUGACAGUUGUUAAAGCGGGGGAUCGAAAGACCUCGCGUCUGAAGAGGAGCCUGCGGCGGAUUAGCUAGUUGGUAAGGUAAUGGCUUACCAAGGCGACGAUCCGUAACCGGCCUGAGAGGGCGGUCGGUCACACUGACACUGACAUACGGGUCAGACUCCUACGGGAGGCAGCAGUCGGGAAUUUUGGGCAAUGGGCGAAAGCCUGACCCAGCAACGCCGCGUGAAGGAUGAAAUCCCUCGGGAUGUAAACUUCGCAAGAACGGGAAAGAAUAAGCGAGAGUUAAUAUCUUUCGUGAUGACGGUACCGUUUGUAAGCUCCGGCUAACUCCGUGCCAGCCGCCG
rnacentral:rRNA from 1 species